UACGGAGGGAGCUAGCGUUGUUCGGAAUUACUGGGCGUAAAGCGCACGUAGGCGGCUUUGUAAGUUUAGAGGUGAAAGCCCGGGGCUCAACUCGGAAUUGCCUUUAAGACUGCAUCGCUUGAAUCCGGGAGAGGUGAGUGGAAUUCCGAGUGUAGAGGUGAAAUUCGUAGAUAUCGGAAGAACACCAGUGGCGAAGGCGGCUCACUGGACCGGUAUUGACGCUGAGGUGCGAAAGCGUGGGGAGCAAACAGG
rnacentral:rRNA from 1 species